GCUUCGCCUUAAGCCCCGCCCCGGUGUCGUCGCCUCCGCGGGGCUGAGGAUGACGUGAGGAGAAAGCCGCGAACCUCUGCCUCCUGUGGGUGCUGCUGGGCCAGCGGUUCCCACAGCCCCGGAGCCAGACGUGCUGCGAAGCGCACCGCCGAGCUCUCCGGCCGGCGGCCCCCUCACUCCCUCCCAGGCCGGGCCGCUCCCUGUGCGGCCCCUGCGGCUCCUGGCACGGCCCCGCGCUCGGCUGCCGCCCUGGCGCGCUCCACUCUGUCGUCCCCGGACGGGCGCGGACCAGCUCGACCGGGGCGCCGGCGGCUGGGCAGAGGGCGCUGGCCCCGGGGCCGCGCCAGCGCGGCCACCAACCUGGGGCUGUCCGUGGAGGGCGAGUGCUGGUUUCGGGGCGAGGCGACGCCCUUCGGGGCCAACGGGCCGCACGCCGAUGUGGCCGUGGGAACGACUCACCCGUUUUCCAGCUCGGGGUCGGGGUCGGGGUCGGCGCCCAUGGGGGCCCCGCCUCCGUCUCCUGGCCUGCCCCCGUCGUGGGCCGCGAUGAUGGCGGCCCUGUACCCGAGCACGGACCUCUCGGGCGUCUCCUCCUCCUCCCUGCCUUCCUCCCCAUCCUCCUCGUCGCCCAACGAAGUGAUGGCGCUGAAGGAUGUGCGAGAGGUGAAGGAGGAGAACACCUUGAAUGAGAAGCUUUUCUUGCUGGCGUGCGACAAGGGUGACUAUUAUAUGGUUAAAAAGAUUUUGGAGGAAAACAGUUCAGGUGACUUGAACAUAAAUUGCGUAGAUGUGCUUGGGAGAAAUGCUGUUACCAUAACUAUUGAAAACGAAAGCUUGGACAUACUGCAGCUGCUUUUGGACUACGGUUGUCAGUCCGCAGAUGCACUUUUGGUGGCAAUCGACUCUGAAGUAGUGGGAGCUGUUGAUAUACUACUUAAUCAUCGGCCAAAACGAUCAUCAAGACCAACCAUUGUAAAACUUAUGGAACGAAUUCAGAAUCCAGAAUAUUCAACAACGAUGGAUGUCGCACCUGUUAUUUUAGCUGCUCAUCGUAACAACUAUGAAAUCCUUACAAUGCUUUUAAAGCAGGAUGUGUCUUUGCCCAAGCCCCAUGCUGUUGGCUGUGAAUGCACACUGUGUUCUGCAAAAAACAAGAAGGACAGCCUCAGACAUUCCAGGUUUCGUCUUGAUAUCUAUAGAUGUCUGGCCAGUCCAGCUCUGAUAAUGUUAACAGAGGAAGAUCCAAUUCUGAGAGCGUUUGAACUUAGUGCUGACUUAAAGGAACUCAGCCUUGUGGAGGUGGAAUUCAGGAAUGAUUAUGAAGAGCUAGCCCGUCAGUGCAAAAUGUUUGCUAAAGAUUUGCUCGCACAAGCCCGGAAUUCUCGUGAACUGGAAGUUAUCCUGAACCAUACAUCUAGCGAUGAGCCUCUUGACAAACGAGGACUACUAGAAGAAAGAAUGAACUUAAGUCGUCUGAAACUUGCUAUCAAAUAUAACCAGAAGGAGUUUGUCUCCCAGUCAAAUUGCCAGCAGUUCCUGAACACGGUUUGGUUUGGACAGAUGUCAGGUUACCGCCGUAAGCCCACCUGUAAGAAGAUAAUGACUGUUUUGACAGUUGGCAUCUUCUGGCCAGUUUUGUCACUAUGCUAUUUGAUAGCUCCCAAAUCUCAAUUUGGCAGAAUCAUUCACACACCUUUCAUGAAAUUCAUUAUUCAUGGAGCAUCGUAUUUCACAUUCUUGCUGUUACUAAAUCUCUACUCACUUGUCUACAAUGAGGACAAGAAAAAUACAAUGGGACCAGCCCUGGAGAGAAUAGAUUACCUUCUCAUACUGUGGAUUAUUGGCAGGGUCUCUCAUACAACCUUGAUCUCCCCAAUAUGGAUAGACUGGUUGGCUCCAGGGAUCUGCCUGUCUCUGCCUCCCUAGCACUGGGGCUACUGGGGUACACUAUGCACCUAGUCAAGGAGCUCUGGUCAGCAUGUGGGAUGAUUUGGUCAGACAUUAAGAGACUGUGGUAUGAAGGGUUGGAAGACUUCCUAGAAGAAUCGCGUAACCAGCUCAGCUUUGUUAUGAAUUCCCUUUACUUGGCAACCUUUGCCCUCAAAGUGGUGGCUCACAACAAGUUUCAUGACUUUGCUGACCGGAAGGACUGGGAUGCAUUCCACCCCACGCUUGUAGCAGAAGGGCUUUUUGCUUUUGCAAACGUUCUGAGUUACCUUCGACUCUUUUUUAUGUAUACAACCAGCUCUAUUUUGGGCCCACUGCAGAUUUCAAUGGGACAGAUGUUACAAGAUUUUGGGAAAUUUCUGGGAAUGUUCCUCCUUGUUCUGUUUUCCUUCACGAUUGGACUGACUCAGCUCUAUGACAAAGGGUACACUUCCAAAGAGCAGAAGGACUGUGUGGGCAUCUUCUGCGAACAGCAAAGCAAUGACACCUUCCACUCGUUCAUUGGCACCUGCUUUGCUCUGUUCUGGUACAUCUUCUCCUUAGCGCACGUGGCCAUCUUUGUCACCAGGUUUAGCUAUGGGGAAGAGCUGCAGUCCUUCGUUGGAGCUGUGAUUGUUGGAACUUACAAUGUUGUGGUUGUGAUUGUGCUGACGAAGCUGCUCGUGGCGAUGCUUCACAAGAGCUUCCAGCUGAUAGCAAAUCAUGAGGAUAAAGAAUGGAAGUUUGCUCGAGCAAAGCUAUGGCUUAGCUACUUUGAUGACAAAUGUACACUGCCCCCACCUUUCAACAUUAUUCCUUCUCCAAAGACGAUCUGCUAUAUGAUCAGUAGCCUCAGUAAAUGGAUUUGCUCGCAUACCUCGAAAGGCAAGGUCAAACGUCAAAACAGUUUAAAGGAGUGGAGAAACUUGAAGCAAAAGAGAGACGAGAACUACCAGAAGGUGAUGUGCUGCCUGGUGCACCGCUACCUGACGUCCAUGCGACAGAAGAUGCAGAGCACAGACCAGGCCACCGUGGAGAACCUCAAUGAACUGCGCCAAGAUCUGUCAAAAUUCCGAAAUGAAAUAAGGGAUUUGCUUGGCUUUCGGACUUCUAAAUAUGCUAUGUUUUAUCCAAGAAAUUAACCAUUUUCUAAAUGUUGUAGAAAUAAUUUUCCAUAACAGAUCUGAAAGACUGUAUUUGCAUACUUGCAAUUAAAUCAAUUAAGAUCUAUAUGGGCAUAAACAAUUACACAAAAGCCAUUCUUUAAAUAUUUAUAGCAUAAAUAUAUGUCAUGUAAAAUAUGUAUAUAGAGUUAGUUUUUUAAAACCUGUCUAUGGCUUUUUGUAGAAGCAAACCCGUUUUGUUCGCAUGCUCUUUUGUUUUCUUAGUUGGUCAGUGCUUAACUCCAUCAUGUUUAAGAGGGGCAGCUAUCAGUGUACACAUGGCCCACUCCAUUUUAUAAAACAAAGAUCAGCAAAUGCAGCUACCUUAAGACACACUUGAAAUGAAGAGCUCAUGGUGUUUAAAUCUCUUGUUUUAGGAGUUCACACAGAGUUCAGUAUAUUGCUUAGGAGUAUAGUUUCAUCUAAAAUACCCUAUUUUUUCUUUUGUUAGAAUCUUAAGCAGCAGAGAAAAGUUCUAGUAAAUAUUUGAAUUUAAGCCAGUCAUGGUAAUGCACGCCUUUAAUGCCAGCAUACAGGAGGCAGAGGCAGGCAGAUCUCUGAGUUCAAGGCCAGCCUGGUCUACAGAGUGAGUUUCAGGAUAGCCAGGACUACACAGAGAAAUCCUGUCUUGGAAAAAAUUUAUUUAUUUAUGUCUAUCUAAAUUCAUCUUGGUAUUUGUAGUGUACUAUAUUUACUUUUACAUGGUUAUAAUAAUUUUAUAUUUUUAAUUUUGUUUUGACACAUUAUUUUAUAUCUAGUUCUCUAUAUUGAGGUAGUUUAUAUGUUCAAGUAUUUAUAGAAGUCUGUGAUUUUUGAAAACUAGUAGCCAUCUUUUACUCAUAGAAUAUUUGUUCAUAUUUAUACAUUUGCAACGCUACUUCUCUAGGUAUUUGGUUAGUUUAGCUUUUCCUUCUACGUUUCCAAGUUGGAGUAAAACUCACCAUUACAAAGUUGAAGCUGCUUGUCACCAUUCAUGUGGUCACAUGCUGGUCACAGUGGGCUUGGCUGGAGAGGCCUGGAGCCCUGAGGAAAGCUGCUUUCCUUUCAGCUGAAGGCUCUUGAGCAACUCUUGCAAAGUGUUUUCCUCAGAGCCUACCAUAGCUUCCACAAAAGGGGCCUCGUGCUCGCUGCUAGAGAUGUAAAGCACUGUUUAUUCCAUUUGAAAUAGAAAGAGAAUCUGACUGCCUUUCAGUGUUCAUGUGAGGGUGUGACUGAAGGUUUCCCAGCUGUCGCAUGAACAUUCUUGAAGAGCGCUUGGUGAAUGUGAGCCGGCAUUGAGGCCAGAGUGCAGACAGCCCUGGUCUGUGAGCACCACCUACCCUGGGGCAGCUGAGGAUUCUAGUGUUAGCUUUCAUCUUGCUUUUUACAUUUGUUUUUAAUGUUCAGGUUUAAGUGUUCCCUCUUUUGGGCAAAUUCUUAUAAAAAUGUUUAUUGUAAAAUUAUAUAUUUUGUCUACAAUGGGAUUAUGCGCUUCCAAGUUGGGAUUUUACAUCAGGAUUUUUAGUCAUUCUAAAAAAAUACCUAAUUAUUAAAAAAUUUAUAGAGUACCUAUGUGUGCAUGAGUAACUGAUGGGGUAUAUUUUGAAUGACAGCAUAUUGUAAGAAAAAAGUGAAUAAAAGUUGACAUUAGAUCAUAAGUUUGAUAGA